rnacentral:rRNA from 1 species
CCUACGGGAGGCUGCAGUGAGGAAUAUUGGUCAAUGGGCGGAAGCCUGAACCAGCCAAGUCGCGUGAGGGAUUAAGGCCCUGCGGGUCGUAAACCUCUUUUGCCGGGGAGCAGUGGUCCGGACGCGUCCGGACCGGGAGAGUACCCGGAGAAAAAGCCUCGGCUAACUCCGUGCCAGCAGCCGCGGUAAUACGGAGGAUGCGAGCGUUAUCCGGAUUUAUUGGGUUUAAAGGGUGCGUAGGCGGGCAUUUAAGUCAGCGGUCAAAUUGCGGGGCUCAACCCCGUACUGCCGUUGAAACUGCAGCCCUUGAGUGCGCGAGAAGUAUGCGGAAUGCGUGGUGUAGCGGUGAAAUGCAUAGAUAUCACGCAGAACUCCGAGUGCGAAGGCAGCAUACCGGCGCGCAACUGACGCUCAUGCACGAAAGCGUGGGUAUCGAACAGGAUUAGAUACCCUAGUAGUC